rnacentral:rRNA from 1 species
UACGUAGGUGGCAAGCGUUAUCCGGAUUUAUUGGGUGUAAAGGGCGUGUAGGCGGGAGCGCAAGUCAGAUGUGAAAACUCAGGGCUCACCCUGAGCCUGCAUUUGAAACUGUUUUUCUUGAGUGCUGGAGAGGCAAUCGGAAUUCCGUGUGUAGCGGUGAAAUGCGUAGAUAUACGGAGGAACACCAGUGGCGAAGGCGGAUUGCCGGACAGUAACUGACGCUGAGGCGCGAAAGCGUGGGGAGCAAACAGG